AUUGAACGCUGGCGGCAUGCUUUACACAUGCAAGUCGAACGGUAACAGGGAGCUUGCUCCGCUGACGAGUGGCGAACGGGUGAGUAAUGCAUCGGAACAUGCCCAGUCAUGGGGGAUAACUACGCGAAAGCGUAGCUAAUACCGCAUACGCCCUGAGGGGGAAAGUGGGGGGAUCUUAGGACCUCACGUGAUUGGAGUGGCCGAUGUCAGAUUAGCUAGUUGGUGAGGUAAAGGCUCACCAAGGCGACGAUCUGUAGCGGGUCUGAGAGGAUGAUCCGCCACACUGGGACUGAGACACGGCCCAGACUCCUACGGGAGGCAGCAGUGGGGAAUUUUGGACAAUGGGCGCAAGCCUGAUCCAGCCAUGCCGCGUGAGUGAAGAAGGCCUGGUGU
rnacentral:rRNA from 1 species